UGGGGAAUAUUGCACAAUGGGCGCAAGCCUGAUGCAGCCAUGCCGCGUGUAUGAAGAAGGCCUUCGGGUUGUAAAGUACUUUCAGUCGGGAGGAAGGUGUCAAGGUUAAUAACCUUGGCAAUUGACGUUACCGACAGAAGAAGCACCGGCUAACUCCGUGCCAGCAGCCGCGGUAAUACGGAGGGUGCAAGCGUUAAUCGGAAUUACUGGGCGUAAAGCGCACGCAGGCGGUUGAUUGAGUCAGAUGUGAAAUCCCCGGGCUUAACCCGGGAAGUGCAUCUGAUACUGGUCAGCUAGAGUCGUGUAGAGGGGGGUAGAAUUCCAUGUGUAGCGGUGAAAUGCGUAGAGAUGUGGAGGAAUACCGGUGGCGAAGGCGGCCCCCUGGACAAAGACUGACGCUCAGGUGCGAAAGCGUGGGGAGCAAACAGG
rnacentral:rRNA from 1 species